ensembl:snRNA U6 U6 spliceosomal RNA
GUGCUCACUUCAGCAGCACCUACGUAUAUUAAAAUUGGAACAACACAGAGAAGAUUGGCAUGGCCCCUGCACAAGGAUGACUCACAAAUUUGUGAAGCGUUCCAUAUUUUG